rnacentral:rRNA from 1 species
UAGGGAAUCUUCGGCAAUGGGGGCAACCCUGACCGAGCAACGCCGCGUGAGUGAAGAAGGUUUUCGGAUCGUAAAGCUCUGUUGUAAGAGAAGAACGUGUGUGAGAGUGGAAAGUUCACACAGUGACGGUAACUUACCAGAAAGGGACGGCUAACUACGUGCCAGCAGCCGCGGUAAUACGUAGGUCCCGAGCGUUGUCCGGAUUUAUUGGGCGUAAAGCGAGCGCAGCCGGUUUAAUAAGUCUGAAGUUAAAGGCAGUGGCUUAACCAUAGUUCGCUUUGGAAACUGGUAAACUUGAGUGCAGAAGGGGAGAGUGGAAGUCCAUGUGUAGCGGUGAGAUGCGUAGAUAUAUGGAGGAACACCGGUGGCGAAAGCGGCUCUCUGGUCUGUAACUGACGCUGAGGGUCGAAAGCGUGGGGAGCAAACAGG